AUGCAACCCCCACCCCGAAAUAAAAGUUGCCUGCCUGUGCAUCACUUUGCAGACAGGCGACAGGCUCCGACAGAGCGCUCGGUACAGUGGCCGCUAGAUAAUGAGCGCUCCCUGGCUGCCGCGAUUCUGAAAAGUCCCCGGGGGGGGGGGGCAACUCACCUGUCCGGGGCUGGCGAGGGGAGCCGCGGGCUAGCCAGGGAGGGGGCCGGACCACCCGGGAGAGCAGCAGAGAUGGGGGAGGCGUCUCGACGCGUCCCGGAUUUCCGCAGCCGGAGCGAUAGUCCGGCCCUCUCCGGGGGGCUUCUCGCCCGCGUCCGAAGGAGCAUCGGAAAAUGUGAGCUCCCCUGUUGAGGACAUCGAACACGUGUGGCGGUUACUUACUCCAUGCUGACGUCAUCUUAUAUUUCACUCCCCACGUCCUCUUCUGCUUCAGAGUUCGUCUUCACCACUCCAAACAGUCAGGGCGGUCGUCGCAGUUCGUGUUCUUCCGAAGAAAACUAAAAUGGGAAGCGUAAAGCGGUUUCGAACAGCGGACCCCUCUCUGGGUGUGGUUGAGCAAAUCCGACGCGUUCGAGAGAAUCGGGAACUGUUCGGACGCAAUCAACAUUCACUAAUUUAGCCCCGUUCGAGCUCUCUGGUCCCCUCUCAACCCUAAUCGGACUGGAGAACGCAACCCACCCUAGAAGUAGGAUUUAUUGAGCGCCCUGCUUGGGGCCGUGCGCUCCACUGGAUGCUUGGAAAAUAUACAAUAACAAAAUGGGAUCAAGAUACGAUCAGGUAACCGUUUUUAUUGUCCCUCUGAGGCUCAGGUGCUAGACACCUUGCAGGCCAUAUAAAAUAAAAUAACUAAAAAAUAAGUGUUGGUAUUGGUUAAGCGCUCACUACGUGCAGAGCACUGCUCUAAGCGCUGGGGUAGAUCCAGGGUCAUCAGGUCGUCCCUCGUGAGGCUCACAGUCUCAUCCCCAUUUUCCAGAUGAGGUCACUGAGGAACAGAGAAGUGAAGCGACUCGCCCACAGUCACCCAGCUGACGGGUGGCGGAGCCGGGAUUCGAGCCCAUGACCUCUGACUCCCAAGCCCGGGCUCUUGCCACUGAGCCCCGCUGCUUCUCCUAAAUAAUCAAUAAAUGAUAAUAAAAUACCAGAAUAAAUCUGGUACUAAGUGCUGGGGAGUGUACAGUAGCAGUAAUAGUGUUUAUUAAGGGUUCACUGCGUGCCAAGCACUGUACUAAGCACUGGGAAAUAGUACACAAGGGGAAAUUAGACCCGCGAGCCCUAACCUUCGAGGGGCUCGCAAUCUAGCAGUGCGGUCCAGGGGGCAGAGCAUGGUCCUGGGAGUCAAAAGGCCCCAGGUCCUCAUCCCAGUUCUGCCACCUGACGUCUGUAUGACCUCGGGCAAGUCACUUCACUUCUCUGUACCUCAAUCCCCUCAUCUUUAAAAUGGGGAUUGAGACCGUGAACCCCAUACGGGACGGUGUCCGACCUGAUCCACUUGUAGCUACCCCAGCGUUUGAUACAGUGCCUGGCACACAGUAAGCGCUUAAAUGCUAUAACAAAAAUAGAUCUACAGUAGAGUUGAUAAGACGCUAUCUCUGCCCUCGAGGAGUUUACAGUCUACUUCGGUUUAUACAAGUCAAUGGGGGGUUUUUUUUCGGUAACUUGACUGGCUGUUGAUACCGAAUGGGAUCGUCUUACCUAGAGAGAGGGAGCAGCCGGCAUCUGCCUCGAAGACCUCCUUGCCCUGACUCUCUUAACAGUGCCGACCCGAAAUGGUAGGAGAUCACAAAUCCCGUACGGAAGCGGCGGCGACGACACCGGAGGCUUGCGUAAGGACGCCGGGAAAUCUCCCUCGGGAUCGUCACCGUCGGCCUCCCUCUUCACGAUGGACAGCUUGAUAGGAUCGGAUGAAAUUAAGUCAAAUAGAAAUCUCACCCACAGCUUCCUUUCUGCAUUCCCCCGCUAAGAGUUGGCAAAGCAGGGAGGUGAGCAGGGAAGACGAGAGAAAUUUGAGACUGUGAUAGUCUGCCUUCGGACAAGCGCCGGCAAUCCCUGGGCUUUUAGUCUCAGCUUCCUACUACAUAGAUGAACCAGUUCGGCCUACUGGGAAGAGCCUAGGCCUUAGAGUCGGGGGACUUUGACUCCUUUUGGCAUCUGUCAAGUGCUCACCAUGUGCCAGGCACCGUACCAAACACUGGAGUAGAUUGAAGAGAAUAGGGAUGGACACAGUCCACUUGGGGCUCCCUGUCUCAAUCCCCGUUUUAGAGAUGAGGCACAGAGAAGUUAAGUUACUCGCCCCAAAACACACAGCAGCCAAGUGACAGAACCAGGAUCAGAACCCAAAUCCUCUGUCUCCCAGGACUGUGCCCUUUCCACGCGGUCACGUUGCUAAAUCCGGUCCGAUCCUGGUUCUGCCCCUUGCCUGUCGUGUGAGCUUGGGCGAGUCGCUUCGCUUCUCUAUGCCUCGGUUUGCUCAUCUCUAAAAUGGGGACUCCAUACGGGUUCUCCUUCCUACCUAGACUGGGGGCACCGUGAGGGAUAGGGACCGGGCCUGACCCGAUCGUCUUAUAUCUGCCUUACGGCUUAAAAUAGUGUUUGGGAACAUGGUAAGCAAUCAGUGGUAUUUCUUGAGCGCUUACUGCGUGCAGAGCACUCUACUAAGUAUUUAAUAAUACACGCUUAUUAACAUGUCACAGUUAUUAAGCAAAGGUUGAUCCUACGAAGUCCACUCUCUCGGGAGAUCAGAUUUCCCAUCGGUCAACGUAACGACGAUGGUAUCCGUUAGGCGCUGUACGAAACCCCGGGGUGGAUACAGGCAAAUCGAGGGAGCCCCGUCCCACGUGGGGCUCACGUUCUCAAUCUCCAUUUUGACAGCUGAGCGGGCGUAGAAAAGUAAAGCCACUUGCCCCGGGUCACAGAGAAGACAAAUGGCAGACCCGGGAUUAGAAGCCAUGACCUUCUGACUCCCAGGGGCGUGCUCUAUCCGCUACACUAUCCAAGGCGAUCUUAGCACGUAUCAUGAGCCAAACUCUGAACUAGACGCAGAAGAAUCACGUCGGGCCUAUUUCCUGUCUCACGAGGAACUCCGUCUAAGUGGGAGAGCAGAGCCCAGUACAGUGUUUCACGCUCGGUAAGUGCUCAGUAAAUACGAUCGAAUGAAUACGCGACGGUCCCAUCCCCCAUCUUACAGAUGAGGAGACCGAGUCACGGAGCAGUUAAGGGACUUGCCUCAAAUCCCACAGCUGUAGGGAGCGACAUUUAGUCCCGAAGCACGUCGGAACCACCAAUCUCUCGGCACUGGGGAAGCCGAGACCAAUAUCUGCGGGGAGCACAGCCGGAUCACCUCAGCUCCUGGUUCAGUCUUGAAUCUGAACCCCAAAACCCGUAUCCGCUCCGAGUCAGCUUCCAGCGGUGACACUCCUUUCUCCCGGUGUCGCUUCCCGGGGCUCAGCUGAUUCCAGAAACGGAUGCCUCCGGAUACAGUGUUUGGGCACAAUGGGGAAUCUUCUUUUAAAACCGCGUGUAAGAGCGAAUUGACUCUGCUUAUUUUUGAUGUCCAGCGAAGCUUUAGACAGCCAUUUAAUCAUUAUUGCAGCUACAGUUCUGCUCCUCUCUGGAGAAGCUUAAAACAUGUCAGAAAGGGAGGCAGCAUAAUGGCUCUGACAGGGUUUGAGAGGGAGCGAUUAAAUUUAAGAUAACGAGUUCUGUUGAAAUUUUAAUGUUAUUGUAACAAUCCGGGCCUGCUGGAGCCGGUUUCAUUCUCCAGAUCCGAAAUUAAAAUGUGCAACUGGGAACUGUGCUGAGUUUUAUUUGCCCUUCUGCC
rnacentral:lncRNA from 1 species